GGGGCCGUAGCUCAGCUGGGAGAGCGCCUGCCUUGCACGCAGGAGGCCAGCGGUUCGAACCCGCUCGGCUCCACCA
rnacentral:tRNA from 1 species